CCUACGGGAGGCAGCAGUAGGGAAUCUUCCACAAUGGGCGAAAGCCUGAUGGAGCAACGCUGCGUGGGUGAAGAAGGUCUUCGGAUCGUAAAACCCUGUUGUUAGAGAAGAAAGUUCGUGAGAGUAACUGUUCACGUUUCGACGGUAUCUAACCAGAAAGCCACGGCUAACUACGUGCCAGCAGCCGCGGUAAUACGUAGGUGGCAAGCGUUAUCCGGAUUUAUUGGGCGUAAAGGGAACGCAGGCGGUCUUUUAAGUCUGAUGUGAAAGCCUUCGGCUUAACCGGAGUAGUGCAUUGGAAACUGGGAGACUUGAGUGCAGACGAGGAGAGUGGAACUCCAUGUGUAGCGGUGAAAGGCGUAGAUAUAUGGAAGAACACCAGUGGCGAAAGCGGCUCUCUGGUCUGUCACUGACGCUGAGGUUCGAAAGCGUGGGUAGCAAACAGGAUUAGAUACCCGAGUAGUC
rnacentral:rRNA from 1 species